UUUGGACAUAUGUUUAAUUGGCUGUUACAAUUCUUUUUAUCUUGGGCGUGUAAUAUUUCAAAAUAUUCCCACUUCACUGGAUUUUCAUUUGGAUUUAUCUGCAAGUAAUGUAUGGAUAUUGAAUUGUAUUAUUAAUGGCACAAAAAAAAAACUGAAUAUUACCCGAAGUUGUCUGUUAUUAUAUAGCCGGUUCCUGACACAUUUAAUUAAAUGAGGACUAUCAGAAAAUGCGAAAAUUUUCCUAAUACUGUCAGCGAAAUGUUCAAUAUGAGUUUUUGAACUACCUAAUUUUCCACUUAUACCAAACUCAGACCAUACUCGUCGGUUAGUUUGAGCUCCAUCUGAAACGAACCCAUGGACCCGAGCACCUGCUUUCUCAAGAAGCAACAUAGCUUUAAUAAUUAAUUUUGCCAGUGUUUGUCCAUUAACUGGUCCUUUGAAUGCAAACACUCAGAUAGGUUGUGUAUAAUUAUCAGCUAUGGGUUGGAACAUAAAAACUAACCCAUGUGUGGCUUUAGAAUUUAUGUCUAUUGCUUUUGCACGACGAUUCAAUUCUCUUAUAUUUUUAUUACGCUGACAAAGUAACUUAAGCUUUUCAAGUUUACUUGGAGUACAAAGUAAACGAACACGUUUUACAACAGCUAAUUCUUCAUUAACUAUUAACGAACAUCCAAUAUGUCGAAAAUGUCCAUUACUAUCUAUACAUAGAGUAUUUGUUUUAUAUUUCAACGCUUCUGUUGGUAUAUUAACUCCUUCGCACAUUAUAGCACUAUCCACCUUACAAAUUACGUCUUCAAGUUCUUGUAUACUUUGUACCAAAUUUGAAUUUAAUUUAAGAUGACUAAUCUGAAUUGUAUCAUUCAUAUUUGAACAUCUUAUUGUUGCAUUUUCAUCUAUGAUUACAGAUCGCUCAAAGAAUGAUUCUGCACCAUUUUGAAGGAAACUGCACAGAGUCCAUAUUUAAAAAUAUUUGUUCAAAAAUAUUUUUUAUAGAAUUGGUUAUUUUACUAUGGUCAAGGUUUGGCUCUCUUAUUAAAAUUGUAUGGACUGGAAUACUACACAUUUGAGAUCUAUUAUUUUCAUAUUGUUUCUAAGAAAAAAGCAAAAUUAUGAAUGACAGAAUAUAAACAUUAUAUGUGGAGAUAGGCAAAAUAGGCAGAGCUAAUUCAUCAGAAUUAUCAUUGGAAUUCUCAUGACUAAUAAUCACUUUUUUUACAACACUGUUUGAUUUCAAAGGCAGUUGAUUUGUAUGUAUAUUGCCUUCAUCGACAAUUGCAUCAACAGUAUCAGGAAUAUUAUUAGUUAAACCUUCAAAUUCAACUAUAGGAUAUGCAUCUGCUUUUAAAAGUACCUUAUUAUAAAAAUAUAUGUUAAAAAAAGAAUAAUGUAAAUGUUUUAUAUCUAUAUUAACUG